UGUUUUUUUUCUUUUUUCUAUUUUACCAAGUGUACGCACGACAUGUCUUCAUUAUGAUUUCAAAUUUCCCAUCAAUCUCUCUUGACAAAUUUUUAAAAUUCACACGGUGAAAUAAUAUAACAUCAGAGAUAAAAUUUAUAAGAAAAUACGCAGAGUUGUGACAAACAAGCUAAUGCGUUUGAAGUUUCGAGAUUUUAAAUCUAUUCUCUCGCUUUCUCUAAUCCCCUCCCUUUUUCAUGGGUAUUAAAGUUCUCGAAGAAAAUCCGAUAAGAUGUACGAUGAUAUGACGGCGACGAUGAAGCAACUGUGGAAAAAAA